UACAGAGGGUGCAAGCGUUAAUCGGAAUUACUGGGCGUAAAGCGUGCGUAGACGGUUGCGUAAGUCAGAUGUGAAAGCCCCGGGCUCAACCUGGGAAUUGCAUUUGAGACUGCGUAGCUAGGGUGCGGAAGAGGGAAGCGGAAUUUCCGGUGUAGCGGUGAAAUGCGUAGAUAUCGAGAGGAACACCAGUGGCGAAGGCGAGUCCCUGGACAUCUCCUGACACUGAGGCACGAAAGCUAGGGGAGCAAACAGG
rnacentral:rRNA from 1 species